rfam:Rattus norvegicus chromosome 1, whole genome shotgun sequence.
GGGGAUUUAGCUCAGCGGUAGAGCGCUUGCCUAGCAAGCGCAAGGCCCUGGGUUCGAUCCCCAGCUCCG